rnacentral:rRNA from 1 species
CACGUAGGGGGCGAGCGUUGUCCGGAUUUAUUGGGCGUAAAGAGCUCGUAGGCGGUUCCGUCAGUCGGGUGUGAAAACCAGGUGCUUAACACCUGGCUUGCUUUCGAUACGGGCAGGCUAGAGUUCGGCAGGGGAGACUGGAAUUCCUGGUGUAGCGGUGAAAUGCGCAGAUAUCAGGAGGAACACCGGUGGCGAAGGCGGGUCUCUGGGCCGAUAUUGACGCUGAGGAGCGAAAGCGUGGGGAGCAAACAGG